rnacentral:rRNA from 1 species
UGGGGAAUAUUGGACAAUGGGCGCAAGCCUGAUCCAGCCAUGCCGCGUGAGUGAUGAAGGCCCUAGGGUUGUAAAGCUCUUUCACCGGGGAAGAUAAUGACGGUAACCGGAGAAGAAGCCCCGGCUAACUUCGUGCCAGCAGCCGCGGUAAUACGAAGGGGGCUAGCGUUGUUCGGAUUUACUUGGCGUAAAGCGCACGUAGGCGGACUAUUAAGUCAGGGGUGAAAUCCCGGGGCUCAACCCCGGAACUGCCUUUGAUACUGGUAGUCUUGAGUUCGAGAGAGGGGAGUGGAAUUCCGGUUGUAGAGGUGAAAUUCGUAGAUAUUCGGAGGAACACCAGUGGCGAGGGCGGCUCACUGGCUCGAUACUGACGCUGAGGUGCGAAAGCGUGGGGAGCAAACAGG